rnacentral:misc_RNA from 1 species
AAACUGCGAUAAGUAAUGUGAAUUGCAGAAUUCAGUGAAUCAUCGAAUCUUUGAACGCACCUUGCGCUCCUUGGUAUUCCUUGGAGCAUGCCUGUUUGAGUAUCAUGAAAUCUUCAAAGUAAAUCUUUUGUUAACUCAAUUGGUUUCUACUUUGGUAUUGGAGGUCUUUGCAGCUUCACACCUGCUCCUCUUUGUUCAUUAGCUGGAUCUCAGUGUUAUGCUUGGUUCCACUCGGCGUGAUAAGUUAUCUAUCGCUGAGGACACUGUAAAAGGUGGCCAAGGUAAAUGCAGAUGAACCGCUUCUAAUAGUCCAUUGACUUGGACAAUACUUUUAUGAUCUGAUCUCAAAUCAGGUAGGACUACCCGCUGAACUUAAGC